rnacentral:rRNA from 1 species
GACGAACGCUGGCGGCGUGCUUAACACAUGCAAGUCGAACGGAAAGGCCCUGCUUUUGUGGGGUUCUCGAGUGGCGAACGGGGGAGUAACACGUGAGUAACCUGCCCUUGACUUUGGGAUAACUUCAGGAAACUGGGGCUAAUACCGGAUAGGAGCUCCUGCUGCAUGGUGGGGGUUGGAAAGUUUCGGCGGUUGGGGAUGGACUCGCGGCUUAUCAGCUUGUUGGUGGGGUAGGGGCUUACCAAGGCUUUGACGGGUAGCCGGCCUGAGAGGGUGACCGGCCACCUUGGGCCUGCGAUACGGCCCAGACUCCUACGGGAGGCAGCAGUGGCGAGUAUUGCACAGUGAGCGCAAGCCUGAUGAAGCAACGCCGCGUGCGGGAUGACGGCCUUCUGGUUGUAAACCGCUUUCGCCUGUGACGCAGCGUGAGUGACGGUAAUGGGUAAAGAAGCACCGGCUAACUACGUG